GCGACGGGCUUUGGGCGCCAUUUUGAAAAGGGAAAAAAAGUCUGGUGGUGGCGGCGGCCUGGCUGAGGUGCUUGGGCGGCAGCAGUGCGGCGGCUGCGUUCUUGCUCAGCCACCGCCUCGGCGCCCGCCCGCGCCCGCCGGCCCGCCGGCCGGCCAUGGCAGGUCAAGGCGGCCGUCGACGAGGACGUGGCCGAAGGGCUGGAGCACUCGAUCCUCUGACGUUCUUCAGCUUCACGUCAGUUCUUGCUCCCUUCUCCAGUGAUGUAUUUUAAAGUUCCUGCUCCAGAUUUUACUCUUGAACUUUACGGCGUUGCUUGAAGUAGGUGGAUGUUUCCCUUAGUCACAGUCUCAGGUGAGCCACGGCGCAGACUCCAAGGGCGUCGCCUGCCCCAGCUUCCCACGGCGCCGCUGUCAUCUCAAAGUCGAGCACUUAGAGGCUUUCCCUCACACACACGAAGGUGGACUCAGAAGUUUAAUUAGAAUCACAUGUGGGUUUUUGUUACUGUUCUGCCGUCUUACUGAACAUUGUGAACCUUUCUCCUUCUCUUGAAAUUGUCUGUACGUGAAAUACACCUUUCUUGCCCCCAAUAACUAACAGCCUCUGGCCAGGUGUGUUACACCCUUCCUCCACCUGCCCCCUCCUUCACCCUGCACCUCUCCCUGGCAGUGUGACACCUGGAGAUCCUUGGCCCUGAGAGUCGAACAGCGCCCAGGUUAUUAAGCAAGUAAAACUGUGCUUUAA